GUGGGGAAUCUUCCGCAAUGGACGAAAGUCUGACGGAGCAACGCCGCGUGAGUGAAGAAGGUUUUCGGAUCGUAAAGCUCUUUCGUUAGGGACGAACGUACUCUUUGUGAAUAAUGAGGAGUAAUGACGGUACCUAAAUAAGAAGCCACGGCUAACUACGUGCCAGCAGCCGCGGUAAUACGUAGGUGGCAAGCGUUGUCCGGAAUUAUUGGGCGUAAAGCGCGCGCAGGCGGGAUAUCAAGUCUGUCUUAAAAGUGCGAGGCUCAACCUCGUGAGGGGACAGAAACUGGUAUUCUUGAGUGUCGGAGAGGAAAGUGGAAUUCCAAGUGUAGCGGUGAAAUGCGUAGAGAUUUGGAAGAACACCAGUGGCGAAGGCGACUUUCUGGACGAUGUCUGACGCUGAGGCGCGAAAGCUAGGGGAGCGAACGGGAUUAGAAACCCUGGUAGUCC
rnacentral:rRNA from 1 species